ensembl:lncRNA
AUGAAAGUAAAUUCCGAUGUACCGAUGCCAGUGGACUAGCCUAGACAAAUAGUGGCAGAGUCUGGGAGGACACCUGGGAGCCGGCCAGCAAAUUCGCCUGAUGACCAAUACUGUUGUACUAUUUGUUUUGUAUAUAUUUGUCAAUAAUUAAAUUCACUAUUGUUACAUUUUAUGAUUUGUCUGUCAAUCAAUGACUGCACUGAAUAAUUAAUGUGUCAUGACUUUGUGCUGUAUUUGGAAAAGUUAAAUAGCUGAAAGUUGCAUGUAGUGACAGUCA